CGUAUCACUUAAAGCGAUUCAGCGGGUUACGAUUGACGGAGCGAAGCGACGUCAAAGCGUAUACAAAGUCGAGUCGGUUUAAGGAUACGUUCGUUGGGUAGGGGAGCGUUCUGUAAGCCUGUGAAGGUGGCCUGUGAGGGUUGCUGGAGGUAUCAGAAGUGCGAAUGCUGACAUAAGUAACGAUAAAGCGGGUGAAAAGCCCGCUCGCCGGAAGACCAAGGGUUCCUGUCCAACGUUAAUCGGGGCAGGGUGAGUCGACCCCUAAGGCGAGGCCGAAAGGCGUAGUCGAUGGGAAACGGGUUAAUAUUCCCGUACUUGGUGUUACUGCGAAGGGGGGACGGAGAAGGCUAUGUUGGCCGGGCGACGGUUGUCCCGGUUUAAGCGUGUAGGCUGGUUUUCCAGGCAAAUCCGGAAAAUCAAGGCUGAGGCGUGAUGACGAGGCACUACGGUGCUGAAGCAACAAAUGCCCUGCUUCCAGGAAAAGCCUCUAAGCAUCAGGUAACAUCAAAUCGUACCCCAAACCGACACAGGUGGUCAGGUAGAGAAUACCAAGGCGCUUGAGAGAACUCGGGUGAAGGAACUAGGCAAAAUGGUGCCGUAACUUCGGGAGAAGGCACGCUGACACGUAGGUGAAGUGAUUUACUCACGGAGCUGAAGUCAGUCGAAGAUACCAGCUGGCUGCAACUGUUUAUUAAAAACACAGCACUGUGCAAACACGAAAGUGGACGUAUACGGUGUGACGCCUGCCCGGUGCCGGAAGGUUAAUUGAUGGGGUCAGCGCAAGCGAAGCUCCUGAUCGAAGCCCCGGUAAACGGCGGCCGUAACUAUAACGGUCCUAAGGUAGCGAAAUUCCUUGUCGGGUAAGUUCCGACCUGCACGAAUGGCGUAAUGAUGGCCAGGCUGUCUCCACCCGAGACUCAGUGAAAUUGAACUCGCUGUGAAGAUGCAGUGUACCCGCGGCAAGACGGAAAGACCCCGUGAACCUUUACUAUAGCUUGACACUGAACAUUGAGCCUUGAUGUGUAGGAUAGGUGGGAGGCUUUGAAGUGUGGACGCCAGUCUGCAUGGAGCCGACCUUGAAAUACCACCCUUUAAUGUUUGAUGUUCUAACGUGGACCCGUUACCCGGGUUGCGGACAGUGUCUGGUGGGUAGUUUGACUGGGGCGGUCUCCUCCUAAAGAGUAACGGAGGAGCACGAAGGUUGGCUAAUCCUGGUCGGACAUCAGGAGGUUAGUGCAAUGGCAUAAGCCAGCUUGACUGCGAGCGUGACGGCGCGAGCAGGUGCGAAAGCAGGUCAUAGUGAUCCGGUGGUUCUGAAUGGAAGGGCCAUCGCUCAACGGAUAAAAGGUACUCCGGGGAUAACAGGCUGAUACCGCCCAAGAGUUCAUAUCGACGGCGGUGUUUGGCACCUCGAUGUCGGCUCAUCACAUCCUGGGGCUGAAGUAGGUCCCAAGGGUAUGGCUGUUCGCCAUUUAAAGUGGUACGCGAGCUGGGUUUAGAACGUCGUGAGACAGUUCGGUCCCUAUCUGCCGUGGGCGCUGGAGAACUGAGGGGGGCUGCUCCUAGUACGAGAGGACCGGAGUGGACGCAUCACUGGUGUUCGGGUUGUCAUGCCAAUGGCACUGCCCGGUAGCUAAAUGCGGAAGAGAUAAGUGCUGAAAGCAUCUAAGCACGAAACUUGCCCCGAG
rnacentral:rRNA from 2 species